rnacentral:rRNA from 1 species
AACGAACGCUGGCGGCAUGCCUAACACAUGCAAGUCGAACGAUUGCCUUCGGGUGAUAGUGGCGCACGGGUGCGUAACGCGUGGGAAUCUGCCCUUAGGUUCGGAAUAACAGCUGGAAACGGCUGCUAAUACCGGAUGAUAUCGCGAGAUCAAAGAUUUAUCGCCUGAGGAUGAGCCCGCGUUGGAUUAGGUGGUUGGUGGGGUAAAGGCCUACCAAGCCGACGAUCCAUAGCUGGUCUGAGAGGAUGAUCAGCCACACUGGGACUGAGACACGGUCCAGACUCCUACGGGAGGCAGCAGUGGGGAAUAUUGGACAAUGGGCGCAAGCCUGAUCCAGCAAUGCCGCGUGAGUGAUGAAGGCCCUAGGGUUGUAAAGCUCUUUUACCCGGGAAGAUAAUGACUGUACCGGGAGAAUAAGCCCCGGCUAACUCCGUG